rnacentral:rRNA from 1 species
AUGCUGACACAGGGUAAGGCACACCAUGUAUGUAUACUAAAUCAUGACAACAUAUCACGUCAAAUGCUAGAUGAACUUCAAACCAGAAACAGAUACGCACUAGAUUAUGGGACCAUUUCAUAUGGGGAAAUGACGAAGCUAUAUGGUAGAAAACUAAGUUCAGUUCUUAUUGGUUUCUUGCUGCAUGAAGAACUCUCGCCAUUUCCAUUUUCUGAGACCUGUAGCAAGCAAUGCAUCAGAUGCCAAUGCUGGUUACUGGACACUGAAAUUGUUAAGAGAAUGCAUUAUUGUAACAAACAUGACAAGAGCUUACAUCCAUGGCAUCAUCAUCUCCAUCCCUCUUCCUUUUCUCCCUUUGUUCAGGUGACAAGCAGCUUGCCAUUUGGCACAGGUCAGGCCCAGGGAGCUGGGGCUUCGUUCACAAUGGAGCAAGCAGCUGGAGCUGCUGGGCCUUCGUUCACAAUGGAGCACACAGGUGCCUGCACAGGCGUUGGGGCUUCAGUGCUACCCAUUUCAGCAGCAGGAACUCGGGUAUGA